rnacentral:rRNA from 1 species
CACGGGGGGAGCAAGCGUUGUUCGGAAUCACUGGGCGUAAAGAGUGUCUAGGCGGUCAGGUAAGUGAGAUGUGAAAUGCCCCGGCUUACCCGGGGACCUGCAUCUCAUACUGCCUGGCUUGAGUAUGGGAGAGGAUGAGGGAAUUCCUGGUGUAGCGGUGAAAUGCGUAGAUAUCAGGAGGAACACCGGUGGCGAAAGCGCUCAUCUGGCCCAAUACUGACGCUGAAGCACGAAAGCUAGGGGAGCAAACGGG